AAUAGAUACCCUGGUAGUCCACGCCGUAAACGAUGUCGACUUGGAGGUUGUGCCCUUGAGGCGUGGCUUCCGGAGCUAACGCGUUAAGUCGACCGCCUGGGGAGUACGGCCGCAAGGUUAAAACUCAAAUGAAUUGACGGGGGCCCGCACAAGCGGUGGAGCAUGUGGUUUAAUUCGAUGCAACGCGAAGAACCUUACCUACUCUUGACAUCCAGAGAAGUUUGCAGAGAUGCGAACGUGCCUUCGGGAACUCUGAGACAGGUGCUGCAUGGCUGUCGUCAGCUCGUGUUGUGAAAUGUUGGGUUAAGUCCCGCAACGAGCGCAACCCUUAUCCUUUGUUGCCAGCGAUUCGGUCGGGAACUCAAAGGAGACUGCCAGUGAUAAACUGGAGGAAGGUGGGGAUGACGUCAAGUCAUCAUGGCCCUUACGAGUAGGGCUACACACGUGCUACAAUGGCAUAUACAAAGAGAAGCGACCUCGCGAGAGCAAGCGGACCUCAUAAAGUAUGUCGUAGUCCGGAUUGG
rnacentral:rRNA from 1 species